rnacentral:tRNA from 1 species
GCCAGUUUGGCCUAGUGGUUAAGGCACCAGGCUUAAAGCCAGAUGACAGCGAGUUCUAGUCCCACCUCAGGCA